AUGUGCUCUAUUUGCGGAGUAGAAGAGGAAAGCACGUUUCAUGCCCUAGUUAUUUGUCCUAAGUCUCGUGCACUGCGACGGGUCUUGAGAGAAUCGUGGAAUAUUCCUGAUGAAGAGUGGUUCAAAUUCUCAGGACCAGAUUGGCUAUUGAUUUUGUUGGAUCUUUUGAGCUUGCAACAGAGAGGGCAAGUUUUAUUUCUGUUCUGGCGAGCAUGGCACCUGAGAAAUGAUUUAAUUUUUGGAAAAGGGAAGGAAUCC
rnacentral:rRNA from 1 species